CACACAUUGUAGCAUGGCAAGAUUUUUGCAUAAUUCGGAGGAGUGAGUGAGGGAUGAUGUUCUCUAUGUCCCAGUGUUGACCCGGUCCUGUGGGCCUCGACUGGAACUUGGAAUAGAGUUUCUUCCAUGCCAGUACUGCCAGCAACCCAGUAAGCUCUUCGUAAGCCGCCAACAAUUGGAAAAGAAUCCUCACCAGGAUUUUCCCUUUUGCUGUGAGCAGGCGAAAAAAAUCAGCAAGUUACUCCUAGAAACAGAGGUGAACAGAAAGAUGGACGUGGCCCCUCACCCACCAUUUACGAGCAAACCGGAGAAGAGAGUUGCAAAGGAAGAGGGCAGAGCGGAGGUGAAGGAGGAUCUAAUUGAUGUUACACCCUGUCCAUUUCUGAGCAAGCUACUCGAAAGCCUCUUCAGUCAGCCCUUCUAAUGGAACAGUGGCAUUCAUCAGUCACCUCAGCUCUGACCACACGUGUGUAAUUGGCCCUUUCUUAAGACUUAAAAGCUUAAGGUGGCCACAGGGACGGCUUUUCUGGUGAAGUUUGAGUUUCGGAGGGCGAUGGGUGGCUUGGGAUCUCGAUAAUUCAGAGAGGUUUUCGCUUACCCUCCUGAAGCGUCCAUCACUCCAACACUUUCUGAUGGUGCCGUCUCAGGAAGAGCAGCCUCUAUUUGAAGUCGUUUUUUCUUCAGAUUGCAGGAAUGGGGGACUUCAGAAGGUCACUUAUAACCUCAUUACAGUGUAUUAAAUUGUGGAAAUAGUAAGCUCAAAUCAUACUGAUCGAUUAGAUGCCGAGCACAUUCACAGUGAUUUAAUUUCUUGAUUAUUUUUCGUGUGUUGACGCAGGCGCUUGUCAAACCAUCUCCUUCAGACUGUCCAACAAGCUUUCGACUGUAAGAGAAAAGCCUUCCUUCCCUCAGAUGGACGUCAGAGACGCAUCAAACUUCUGGGGCCAGUUGAAGAGCUUUCCAUACAUCCAGGUAGAUUUGCCCAUCGGAUAGGACUUAAUUAAUAGAAAAGCAAUAAUGUAACAGGAGUUCCAGUUCUAGUCAAUGGUUUGUCUGUUCAAUUAGUUCUAUUUCUAUGCAUUUGAUCCUAUUUGAUAGGUUAAAUGCAUGUAGAUACGGCACGUUUAUAAGGAAACAGUAUAUUUAUUGCCAGGCUUUUGGUGCCAAACAUUUUGCACCAGAACCCAUUUACUCCAAACAGAACACGUUCUGCGAC
rnacentral:lncRNA from 1 species